GAUGAACGCUGGCGGCGUGCCUAAUACAUGCAAGUCGAGCGAACAGACGAGGAGCUUGCUCCUCUGACGUUAGCGGCGGACGGGUGAGUUACACGUGGAUAACCUACCUAUAAGACUGGGAUAACUUCGGGAAACCGGAGCUAAUACCGGAUAAUAUAUUGAACCGCAUGGUUCAAUAGUGAAAGACGGUUUUGCUGUCACUUAUAGAUGGAUCCGCGCCGCAUUAGCUAGUUGGUAAGGUAACGGCUUACCAAGGCGACGAUGCGUAGCCGACCUGAGAGGGUGGUCGGCCACACUGGAACUGAGACACGGUCCAGACUCCUACGGGAGGCAGCAGUAGGGAAUCUUCCGCAAUGGGCGAAAGCCUGACGGGGCAACGCCGCGUGAGUGAUGAAGGUCUUCGGAUCGUAAAACUCUGUUAUUAGGGAAGAACAAAUGUGUAAGUAACUAUGCACGUCUUGACGGUACCUAAUCAGAAAGCCACGGCUAACUACGUG
rnacentral:rRNA from 1 species